GGGAUUGCCCCAGUAGCGGCGAGUGAAGCGGCAAGAGCUCAGAUUUGAAAUCGUGUUUCGGCACGAGUUGUAGAGUGUAGGCGGGAGUCUCUGUGGAGCGCGGUGUCCAAGUCCCUUGGAACAGGGUGCCUGAGAGGGUGAGAGCCCCGUAGGGUGCUGCGCGAAGCUUUUGAGGCCCUGCUGACGAGUCGAGUUGUUUGGGAAUGCAGCUCCAAGCGGGUGGUAAAUUCCAUCUAAGGCUAAAUAUUGGCGAGAGACCGAUAGCGAACAAGUACUGUGAAGGAAAGAUGAAAAGCACUUUGAAAAGAGAGUGAAACAGCACGUGAAAUUGUUGAAAGGGAAGGGUAUUGGGCUCGACAUGGGGGGUGCGCACCGCUGUCUCUUGUAGGCGGCGCUCUGGGCGCCCUCUGGGCCAGCAUCGGUUCCUGCUGCGGGAGAAGGGGCUCCGGAAAGUGGCUCUUCGGAGUGUUAUAGCCGGGGCCAGAUGCCGCGUGUGGGGACCGAGGACUGCGGCUUCUGUCUCGGAUGCUGGCA
rnacentral:rRNA from 1 species